rnacentral:rRNA from 1 species
GAUGAACGCCGGCGGUGUGCCUAAUACAUGCAAGUCGAACGCGUUGGCCCAACUGAUUGAUUGUGCUUGCACAGGAUUGACGUUGGUUUCCCAACGAGUGGCGGACGGGUGAGUAACACGUAGGCAACCUGCCCCGAAGCGGGGGACAACAUUUGGAAACAAGUGCUAAUACCGCAUAACAACUUUGACCGCCUGGUCAAAGCUUAAAAGAUGGUUUCGGCUAUCACUUCGGGAUGGGCCUGCGGCGCAUUAGCUUGUUGGUGGGGUAACGGCCUACCAAGGCGAUGAUGCGUAGCCGAGUUGAGAGACUGAUCGGCCACAAUGGGACUGAGACACGGCCCAUACUCCUACGGGAGGCAGCAGUAGGGAAUCUUCCACAAUGGGCGCAAGCCUGAUGGAGCAACACCGCGUGAGUGAAGAAGGGUUUCGGCUCGUAAAGCUCUGUUGUUGAAGAAGAAUGUGCAAGAGAGUAACUGUUCUUGUAUUGACGGUAUUCAACCAGAAAGUCACGGCUAACUACGUGCCAGCCGCCGCUGUAACAC